UCCCGGUUUAUCCGGGAGAGUUGACAGCCCUGCUUAUAUCCAAUGGGCGUUGUUCCUUUGUUAAGGUUGGGGCUUUAGAAUGGGUGGUAGGUUUGGGGAUUGUCUCCAUAUUUUCAUUGGGUUUAGGGUACCGUUCCAGAAGUUGACUUGCCUUCGCGGUGUCAUCUUGCCCCUUUCACCGUCGUCGUACGAAGAUCGUGUUUGGUUGACCCGCCCUGUUUUACCCACACUGUUAAGUUUCCUUUUCCUUCAUGUAACCGAAUGCAGUCGUUGUUCACUCCCACUCUUAGUUAGACGAGUGUGAAAGGGACUGAUGCAAACAGUAUACUGUUCUAGCUCUUGUGGGAUAUAGCAACGGUAACUAAGAGGAGUCGGAACCAUGAAUCCACCCAUCAACCGGGAUGAGGGACGGCGGAACAGUUCUUAAAGUGGAGACUCCCCCAGCCCCCGUCUCCGCCGUCCAUGAUCAACCGGUUGUACCAUAUUUGAUUUGUCAUCAAGGGUAAUGCAUACGAUGUCACAUUUCGAUUCAAUUCAAUUCCAUAUAUUUUAUUCACACACUUGUCUUUAUAGAGUUGAAUAACAAAUCAUAAUUGUUUAUAUUUAAAAUUUAUAAUAGAUUUUAUAGAAAGAUAUAUAAAUAAUAAACAUAACUAUUGGUCUACCUGUGGUUCUAUACCAUGAUACCUUGCGCGUCACAUCACAUGGCGUCUAUCUUGCUGGCAGAAUUGGUUUAUGUUGCUCAAACUUGAUUGUUAAUAACACUGAAAACUUCAGGAUGGGCACUUGCAGGAAAGGGGAACUGAAGAUGAUAAAGGGGUCUUUCGCUCUCCUCUCCUGCAAAGUUUCUCUUCAAUUGAGAGUCUACACUUGCUCUUUGAAAUUCAUCCACUAUUAGAGAGGGGUCUGGUCUGAUGUUGGCCUUGUUGAGGUAAAGAUGGCGUUUUUGAAGACAUGGACAAUGGCAGUUAUAGUGACUGUUACUCUUUGUGGACAGUCUCAUCAGUCCAUUUGCAUCAUUGUAGAAGUAAUUUUCUUUAUGCAGGAUGAAUAUAAGAUAUUCGGGAUCAAAA